GAAAAUGUUUUGAAUUCUUAUAAUUCAAAUUGAGAUGUUACAUAUAAAUUUAUUAGGUGCUAGCGCAAUAACUAAAUGACAACUCAUGCAAUAUUCUAUCAUAAGGUAUAUUGCACACUUAUUUUGCUAGCACAACAACCCAUGGAAUCAAAGAGGCCUUUCAGAAGGUACACAUAUGUUGUCAAUGCAUUGAAUAAUAAAAAAUUCGGACCAAUGUUCUUGACAGUCUUUAUCACUUUCACACUCAACAUUUGCUGUAAUGAAAAAAUAUGAUAUAAGAUUGUGUAGAAUUACAAAGUAAAGAAGGAUAAAAAAUUGAAAAGGAUUAAAAUUUGCUCACCACGACGGCCAACUUCCAUUGCAACAACAAAUAAGGGAAGAAAAAGUAUCAUAGCAUAAACACAUUUGAGAAUUUUAGUCAUAU
rnacentral:lncRNA from 1 species